rnacentral:rRNA from 1 species
GUAAUACGUAGGGGGCAAGCGUUAUCCGGAUUUACUGGGUGUAAAGGGAGCGUAGACGGUUUUGCAAGUCUGAAGUGAAAGCCCGGGGCUUAACCCCGGGACUGCUCUGGAAACUGUAGGACUAGAGUGCAGGAGAGGUAAGUGGAAUUCCUAGUGUAGCGGUGAAAUGCGUAGAUAUUAGGAGGAACACCAGUGGCGAAGGCGGCUUACUGGACUGUAACUGACGUUGAGGCUCGAAAGCGUGGGGAGCAAA